GAAGGGGGGGAUCUUAGGACCUCCCGCUACAGGGGCGGCCGAUGGCAGAUUAGCUAGUUGGUGGGGUAAAGGCCUACCAAGGCGACGAUCUGUAGCUGGUCUGAGAGGACGACCAGCCACACUGGGACUGAGACACGGCCCAGACUCCUACGGGAGGCAGCAGUGGGGAAUUUUGGACAAUGGGGGAAACCCUGAUCCAGCAAUGCCGCGUGUGUGAAGAAGGCCUUCGGGUUGUAAAGCACUUUUGUCCGGAAAGAAAUCCUCUUCGCUAAUACCGAGGGGGGAUGACGGUACCGGAAGAAUAAGCACCGGCUAACUACGUGCCAGCAGCCGCGGUAAUACGUAGGGUGCAAGCGUUAAUCGGAAUUACUGGGCGUAAAGCGUGCGCAGGCGGUUCGCUAAGACAGAUGUGAAAUCCCCGGGCUUAACCUGGGAACUGCAUUUGUGACUGGCGGG
rnacentral:rRNA from 1 species